rnacentral:rRNA from 1 species
CCUACGGGAGGCAGCAGUGGGGAAUAUUGCGCAAUGGGCGCAAGCCUGACCCAGCAACGCCGCGUGAGGGAAGAAGGCUUUCGGGUUGUAAACUUCUUUUGUCAGGGAAGAGUGGUAGACGGUACCUGACGAAUAAGCCACGGCUAACUACGUGCCAGCAGCCGCGGUAAUACGGAGGUGGCAAGCGUGGUCCGGAUUUACUGGGAGUAAAGGGCGUGUAGCCGGGUUGACAAGUCAGUUGUGAAAUCCUUCGGCUUAACCGGAGAACUGCAUUUGAAACUGUUGAUCUUGAGUGCUGGAGAGGAAGACGGAAUUCCUAGUGUAGGGGUGAAAUGCGUAGAUAUUAGGAGGAACACCAGUGGCGAAGGCGGUCUGCUGGACAGCAACUGACGGUGAGGCGCGAAAGCGUGGGGAGCAAACAGGAUUAGAUACCCCUGUAGUC